UUUAGGAGUAUUGAUGUAUAAGUUUAGAAACUGUUCACUUCAUUGCCCACAAAUGCAAAUGUUACACCAGAGGUCUCAGUGUCUGGCUUCAGUAGGAGUUUAGCCUGAACACUCAACAGAGCUCUGAAUCAUCAUUUUAAAUUUGAGGUUUGGAAAUUUCUAAACCAGUUUUUUCUGCCUACCAAAACCUUAUAUUCAUCUUGGAAUUUUUGUUUGCCACUUACAUAUCACAACCGUGUACUUGGCUGGUUUCAUUUAGAGUGGCACAAAGUGAAAGGUAAUUUCCCUAAAAUCUCUAAAUUAGAUCACAGUCUUACUAUGACAUUUUAACUUCCUCUUAAAACAUAUGUUAGUAAGAGUAAGGAAGCUAUAAAAGUACAUAAGUUUCUUUAAAUUUACAUACAAAAAAGAUCUCCAAAAUCAUGUCUUAUAUAUAAUGUCUCCUUUCCCAUAUUGUUUUUCUUGUUACUUUUUUCUUAAACAACAGUAUGUUUUUUUGAAAGUGGUUACUGGGAGACCAAACAGAAAACAAACAAGAUUCAACCAUUUCAGAACUCUGCCCAGGAGCCAAUAUUCUAUUUUAGAAGGAUGGAGAAAGGAAAACGUAUUUAAAUCAAGACAUACUUAACAGAGAACUAACAGGGCAUUACUUAGGCCUUUUUACACCUCCUUGGAAUGACUGUCUCAACUAUUCCAUCCUUAUUGCUGAUAGGCUUUCGUUAACAUCAGAGCAGUGUACCUGGAGUACAAGACCGUCCUCAGCGCUUGUGAAUGUCACAGUACUGAAACAGUGACCAGGUGUGACUUCCUUACAUCACCUCACCUUUCCACUCCCCACCUGGACUUCCUGUUUCUAUCCUGUGUAGACACAUGCCAAUAGAAGGUAUACUAAGGAAGAAAAUUGGUCUUGCCACCCACCAUUCUGAUUCACAGUCAUGCUUUAAAAAUCAAAUGUACGUUCCUUUACAGUUUGUCUCUUUAAAAUGUAAGUUGAGUAACUGCAAACUUAAGAAAUAGAUAGCAAAUCUAUAGCCAUUAAACCAUUUGUGUGUAUUUUUUCUGCAUAGCUGAUUCUCCAGAAAAGCAGGUGUAUUAGGUUGCAGAUAUUAUAUUAGCAGAUAAUUUAAAAAUAGGUUUUAUUUUUACUCUGAAAAAAUGUUAAUGCUGUCCAUGACUGGGGUUAAAUCUUGUGAAAGACCACAGCAUGAUAGCAUUACCAUUUUCAGAUGGUUGGUGUUCUUCAAGAAAUAUCCACUGCCAAUUCUUCACAUCUAACACCUCUACAAUAUUGAGUUCCUGUGUCUGGAUUCCUUGAAAAACUACUAAAAUUAAUGCAGCUGCACUAGCAAGUUUACUGGCUUCAAAUAUAACAAAGUAUUGUGGUAAGCUGAGUGGUAUAGCAUUAAAUAAGUUACCAAACAGCAGUAAGAGAUUUCUUCUUGACAGAGGUUAAAAUAUAAAGGAGAGCUUAUUCUGGCUGCUGUCAUAAAAGGACUUGAUGUCUGAUGAUUGAGCAUUUUCAUCACUUGCAUGUGUUCAGUUUCCCAGGGAAGGGUUUCACUUCCUUGGUAAGAGAAAAAAUAACUCUCUCUUGACAUUUAAUUCCUUCUGUUAUGAAGGAAGUCAGACUACAUCAUAAUUGCCUUUCUAUCUCCAAAAUCCAUAACAUGAAUUACAGAGUAUUACUUUGGGAAAAAAUAUCUCAGUUGGUCAAAUAGUGUGUAUACAAAGCUGAAACUGACUCAGCUCAACCUUCCUACAGCCACCAUGUAGCUUUAACCUUAGUACAGAGUUUCCUUUUUGGAUAAAACCAAUAAAUAAAAGGGAAGGCUCAAGGGUCCUAAGCUCAGAGCAAAAAUUCAGCAAUUUGGAAAAGUUCCAACUGUCUUUCAAACAAGAGGUAGAAGGAAGAACUUGAAGGUGAGAAGCCAUGGAGCUACUACUGAGAUGUGCAACAAGGAAGAAGGCUUCAGUUCCUGCCUUUUCCCCAUCAUCACAGAAUGGUUUGAGUUGGAAGGGACCUUAAAGAUCAUCUCGUUCCAACCCCCCUGCCAUGGGCAGGGACACCUUCUACUGAAUCAGGUUGCUCAAUGCCCUGUCCAACAUGGCCUUGAACAUUUCCAGGGUUGGGGUAUUUUCAAUUUCUCUGAACAACCUGUUCCAGUGUCUUACCAACUUCAUCAUAAAAAAAAAAUUUCUUCCUUAUUUAUUCCUUAUCAGAAUCUCACCAGUGUUGUUUUCUGAUUAUGUAUGUUGACCUAAACCACCCUGUCCCUCCCCUUUCUCCAUCAUCUCUAUUUUGCAGUAUGGUGACUUCCUAGAUUCUUCCUUACCUUUAGCUGACUCUGCAUUUCUUUUACUGAAUGGAUACAGUAAAUACUGCCUCUUCACACCUGAAAAGAAAUUUAAUAAAGAGGAGAAAUAGCGAAGUAGGGGA